rnacentral:rRNA from 1 species
AUUGAACGCUGGCGGCAGGCCUAACACAUGCAAGUCGAGCGAGUGGCGGACGGGUGAGUAAUGUCUGGGAAACUGCCCGAUGGAGGGGGAUAACUACUGGAAACGGUGGCUAAUACCGCAUACUAUCGGAUGUACCCAUAUGGGAUUAGCUAGUAGGUGGGGUAAAGGCUCACCUAGGCGACGAUCUCUAGCUGGUCUGAGAGGAUGAUCAGCCACACUGGAACUGAGACACGGUCCAGACUCCUACGGGAGGCAGCAGUGGGGAAUAUUGCACAAUGGGCGCAAGCCUGAUGCAGCCAUGCCGCGUGUAUGAAGAAGGCCUUAGGGUUGUAAAGUACUUUCAGCGGGGAGGCGUUACUCGCAGAAGAAGCACCGGCUAACUCCGUGCCAGCCGCCGCGGUAAUAC